CUGAAUGUGAUGUUGAGGGACAGCUGUGUGUGCGUGUGUGUGCGUGUGUGUACGUGCAUGCAUGCAUGUAACGACAAUUGUACAGAUAUGCAUGUAACAGCAAUUAACAAUACUUUAAAAAGAGGUCAUGAAUUUGAAAGUGAGAAAAGGGGGGUACGUGGGAGGGUGUAGAGGAGGGAAGUGAAGGGAAAAUUAUAAUCUCAAAAAAUUAAAAGAAUUUUAAAAAAAGAAAGACAUGAACAAGGUGAACAACAAGCUAGGCGUAGACAGAUGAAACAGGAGGUGGAGUUAUUCUACACAUCCGAACAAGGAGACCAUUGAACUAAUCUCAGGAGAAACAGACUCUGUUGGGGCGCAGGCUUCAGGCCAUAAACAGAAGCUGGGAGUCAGCUUUCUGGUCCUCCUCUUCACGUUUACCCAUGGAGCCAUCUCCCCUGUCCUGCAACUGGUUCUUAUCUCUUCACCUACUUGUAAUCCCAAGGAAAGAAGCGAGGAGGAAGCUUUCUGGAGACUACAGCUUGCCAAGCAGGCACACUGUCUUGGAGUUCAUCCCCAGAACCACAUAAACUUGGCAUGGUGGCACGCACCUUCACUCUUAGUACUUAGGAGGCAGAUGGGAGGAUCUGGAGUUCAAGGGCAGCCUGGGCUACACAGACAAAAAGUUAUGUCAAAAAGUAAUUACACAAUGACAACAGUAAAACAAAAUCAACACCAACAAAAUCCAAUCUAUGGCAUUCCUUUGUAAUAUGCUGUGGUUUUCCACUUGUACGUAUACAUGUAGAGCUAUCCAUAAAGUGAUUUAACUACAUAAAAUCUGUGAUGUUUUGGAUGAAAACAAGAAAUUAUUGAGCACAAUACAUACAUUUUCACCUUGCUGCUUAUAGUCAGUUUGAUAUAGGAAAUGUUUGAGCUUUACAAGAAUUUUUUAAUAUAACUUAGUUUCUUAUCAUGAGGUCACACUUUAAAAAAUAAACAAAUACUAAAUUUUAGAUGAGCUUGUUCAAACGUAGCUGGAAAUGUUUCAUUAAAGAUAUAUGAAGAAACUGUUCAAAACUAUUAAAUUUUGUUUACUAAAAAUAAAGCUUAUAGGAAAUAGAAACAGCCAGUGUGGGGAGGAGCAUGGAGGGCAGGAAGGAAAUAGAUGAGAACAGAAAACAGCGGCACGAAUGUGUGAAGAUGCAUGAUGCAACUCCUUUCUUUGUGUGACAACCUGAAAAAAAACAACAAAUGUAAAUAAAAAGGUUUUCUCUUUUAAGGAGUAAUAAGACUCUCUACUAAACAAUAAGUGCAAAAUCCACACACCCACACGAAGACAUUGAAAUUCAGGCUCCUGUAAGCUGGAGAAGGACUGGAUAUGUUUCACUGGAGGACAGGACCUUAAAGAAGCACAGGUUUCCACCCUGCGAUUGUGUGUAAGUGUCCCUUAGAAUGGAUCACUAACAAGGAGAAUCACUUGAGAAAGGCACUGCUCUUAACUGAAAAGACCACCUGUUCUG